GGGAAAUGUUGCUCUAGAGCAGCUGGUGGGGUGGCUGGCACCUCCGGCCCAGGUGUGCGAGGUUAUGGCCAUCGUUCCCCUCCCACUGGUUGUCAGUUAAGCAUCCCGCAACUCUUGGGACUUUCUCCACCUGCUCUUGAGGCAGCAACAACUCAGCAGUCUCUCUGAAGGGGGAGAGAAGGGAUGUUUGAGCUAUGGGGAGGGCAGCUGUAGUUCACUUAGGCGGAGUCUUCUCCCAUUUGGGGAGGCCCUUGCCUCCCGGGGGUGGGUGCGGCUUGGGUUGCAGUCUCUCCGCUCCCUCGCCCAGCUACCGACCGCUUGCUAGCGCGAUAACAUGGGGACGAGUUACUUAAUCUCUGUGCCUUGUUUGCUCAUCUGUAAGUGAGUAGAUGAUAGCGCCUUCCUAAUAGUGUUGGGAUGCCUAGUGUGCUUUGUUCUGGCAAUGGCGGUAUUUCGCAGCCUCCUUUCCUUCUGCACCCUCGACUUCUCCAGGACUGUGUGGAGGUGGAGGCAGUGACCCCUUGGCUCCUGGCAGCAGGGCCCUAUGAUACAGCGUGAAACAGCUUGGCCACCGAAACUUCCUAUCUACCUACCUCCCUUACCACCGUCUACCGUCUACGUUAACAUAACUGUUCACUCGUCAUUAGCACGCGUUUUACUUCUCCAGGGGAUUCCUGUCCAAGCAAAGUGCUUGAUUGUUCAACACAAAAACUUCCACAAGGUCCAUCAACUCUCCAAUCUCCUCGAAAGAAAGCAAUAGUUGGCACCUAAAAACUCUUGCUGUUCUCCCCAAUCCUGGCCUGUAGUACCGUGAGCCUCACGUGAGUCUAAUCACGUCCGUCGCACUGAAAGACGCGCUUUAAGCCGAACUCGGAAUUCUCAUUAAAUUCCAACCUUGACUUCGUGUCCGUGUCCAGGUGCCGUGUCCUUCGCGGUGGUGUUCUCAACUGCAAUUAGCAAUACCACCGUUUAUUAUCCGACGGUGCUAUUGGAGAUAUCGGAGAGCUGGCAUUUGAUGCAAGUUUGAGAGCCAGCGUCCCCCAGGUUCUGCGUUAGGUGGUUCAGCGCAAGUCACUUUGACGUUUCCCAUUUUCAGCCUUCCCUAAAAAUUUUGGUUCGUUUUUCUUUCAUACGACGGACUUUUUCAACUCGCAAUUGUUUUCUCGUGAGCUCUAAGAAAUGAAGAAAACAAAAAGAAAUCUGAUAGUUACAGCACCAGAGAAGUGACUCAAUCAACCUGCACCUAACACAGCCCAAAACAAGAGCCAGCGGUGAGAAGCGCGGUCCCGCAAGGUGCAUUCUGGGAAAUGUAGUUCAGGAGUUGCGUGAAAUCCGAGGCGUUUCCGUAGGGGCAUUCUGGGAAGUGUGGUCCAGGAGCCGGGUAGAGUCGGGGACACUUCCGCUUCAGGAAGGCGAGGUCGGGCCGAGAUUCUUGGCAGGGAGGUGAGUUAACCCCGCGCCUUUGCGGUCCCUCCGAGCCUUCUCGGCCUCGGCGUGAGGCCGGCAGCCUCUGGGUCCUCGCUCCUGGGGCAGGGGAGCCGCUGCCGGAGGCGGAGGGCAGGGAC
ensembl:lncRNA